rnacentral:rRNA from 1 species
AUUGAACGCUGGCGGCAUGCUUUACACAUGCAAGUCGAACGGCAGCGCGGGCUUCGGCCUGGCGGCGAGUGGCGAACGGGUGAGUAAUGCAUCGGAACGUGCCCAGUAGUGGGGGAUAGCCCGGCGAAAGCCGGAUUAAUACCGCAUACGACCUGAGGGUGAAAGCGGGGGACCGAACGGCCUCGCGCUAUUGGAGCGGCCGAUGUCGGAUUAGCUAGUUGGUGGGGUAAAGGCUUACCAAGGCGACGAUCCGUAGCUGGUCUGAGAGGACGACCAGCCACACUGGGACUGAGACACGGCCCAGACUCCUACGGGAGGCAGCAGUGGGGAAUGUUGGACAAUGGGGGCAACCCUGAUCCAGCCAUGCCGCGUGCGGGAAGAAGGCCUUCGGGUUGUAAACCGCUUUUGUUCGGGAAGAAAUCCUCUGGGCUAAUACCCCGGGGGGAUGACGGUACCGGAAGAAUAAGCACCGGCUAACUACGUG